CAGAGAAAUGUCACCCGGGGUGCCGGCCCGGGGGGAGCGGAGGCGCGUUAGGGAUGUGUGUGUGGGAGAGGGGCAGCCAGACCUCCGCCGGCCCCGCCGACUUGUCAAGCCAACUGACACAGUUGCAAACAGCAAGCUUUUGGGCUCAAAAAGCACAGACCAUCAUGGCUACGAAAACUGCUGCUGCUCAGGAAGUAUGUCAUUCUGGAGCUCCUCAGUGAAAAAGUAGUGCAAGGCAAACAUCAGAGCAGUUACCAAGUGAUCUUCACAGCACCCGUGAACUUCAGCCAUGAACUGUAGAGGACUCAUCAAAUGCUUUAGGAGAGACAUCAUGGAAUUGGAAGAGAAGCGGGGAUCUCCAUGAAGGGCAGUCAACUACAGUCUUGGUGUGUGGAGGAACAGGUCCUGUUCUCGCUGUUGUUACUCCCACAUAGGCGGACUCUGUAAUUGAUUAUGUGUGGGUAGGGUCCUAUUGAAAUUCAGGAGAUUCUGCAAUAGUGCAGGGUUCUUUUUGUGAAAGUUGAGUUGCAAGAUCAGGACCCUACUGUGACUCCUUACUGUGAAUUCUGUCAGUGUAUCAUUGAUUGUGCUGGAACCUGCCUUUUGGGAUAAUUACCAUAUAAUAUAUUCCUCAAAACUUCUUAAUGGCACUGAGGCUUUGUGGAUAGUUGGUCACAUGAUGAGAAAAUUCAGCUGUUAGACACCAGUGUGUGGAUUUCAUCCAGAAGCUGUAAUGAAAUAAAAUAAAUGAGCAAGUUGAAAAAAAAUUAAUUCUGUAAUUUGUUAAUUUAUGUUCUCAGUUACUGCAUGAUUCCCUUGAGUAUAUAUGGUAUUAUAGAACUGUAAAUGUUAAGGGAAAUUAUGUCCUUUUUAAACUGAGCUAUAUACAAAUAUUUAUAUAGUGACUAUAACUUGUCUUCAUUACCAUGCUAAAAACUUGUUUAUUUUUAACUAGAGAGAUGGGGAUCUCCUGCUUUCUUAUAUUCACUUGGUGAUAAUCAUAAAACACCUUACUUGUCUACCUCAGUGUAACUGAACCCUGAGCUGAUGUAUAGCAGAGUAGCAUCCCCUCUAAAAUUGCCCCAUUGCUGAUGGGACAGAAAGAGUGGAAAGGAUGGAGCGGGGAGAGGCCUUAUGGUGCCAAAUCACAACUAGUUCUGGAGUGGUUAUAUCUACUUUUUGGAAGGUAGUAAAUUAAUUUCUGCUGAUAGAGGUAGACCUGCAUAAGAAUUAUGCUAUAAAUUACUCUGUGUGGCAGGGUUCCCCUUCCUGUGCAGUGUCUGUGUCACUGGGCAGCAGUUUUUAAGGGCACCCAGUGAAGAUACAAGUACUGAAAAACUGAUACAGCUGUACUCUUCAUUUUUAAAGGAAAAUGAAAUAAAAUGCAGAUACAACUGCAUUUAUAAGAGACUUCAUUCUGUAUUUUAGAAUUAGUUCUUACUGUUAUGUUAUUUUGCUUUAGUGUUACAUUAUUUCAUGUUACAUGACUGUAGAAUUGUUUAGAUAAUACAGAAUCUUCAUUGCAAAAUCACAUUUGAAAUGAACCAAUAUUUAGAUGUUAAAGAUGUCUUUUGAUUGCAUUGUAACUGACAACUCUGUGUUGUCCUCAUGUCAUUGACAGUACCACGAUGGUUAUAUUCUGAAAUAGUCACUAAUGGAAGACCAUUGUAUGCAUAGGUCUCCAAUGAGGUAUAUGAAUUGCACAGUCCCAGGAUUAAGAUUAUGUCUCUCAGAUUUUCUGUAGCAACAAGAAAGUGCAGACUGUGAACUGUCCCUUUGGUUUAUGUUCCAGCCCUCAGAUCAGUGCCCAGAGGGAAAGCUUCCUUUCCCAUCCUCUUCUUUGGUAAUUUGUGACUUCAUACUGCAGUUCUGUAAGAGCAGUCUUGUUUUUGUGUCUGGGCUGGCAAGCUGGUGAAGGUGGUAUGAAGAGGUUGUCCUGACAGACCUGCUCCACACUUAAGCUUCUUGCACUGAGACUGGGCUAUAUACCAGCUUUAAAACCAGGCCCUCUCCCAUGACUCAUGUAUUUUAUUAUAGUUAAUUUAAAAUAAGUGUUAUAAUGUAAGAAUCCAUGACCAUGACAUAGAAUUUCAGCAUGUUUUCACAACAGUAUUUACUGUAUUUAGUAACAAAUUACUGAAAUAUCAGUAGUGCCAUUUUAAGUAUCAGUAAAAUGUGGUAUUUCCUGAAUCAGGUCUUAGUGUUGGUGUCUCAAACCAGGACAUUUGGGAAGAUAGAAUCCCAGUGAUGUCAAGCUUUGAUUUUAGUACCUAAUUAGUCCUAAUAGAAGAGCAAACCUGUUACAUCUUGUGUGCAGAUGAAAGUAGUUAGUGAAUUUUCUUUGUUCAGAGGAAAAGAAGUUGAAAAUAUACUAUUUCUGUCAUUAUUUUAAUACAGAUCUUGUUAUCCAUAAGUAUUCAGCUUAAGGGUAUCCUGCUAGGUUCAUAGGUAGUUAGUGAACUUCACAAAAUGAAUGAAAUUUCAAAUAUGUGAUUCAGAGUCUAAGAUUCAGCCCUUAGAAUGGGAUGAAUCGCCCUCUGGAGGUGCCCAUUUCAGUCUUCUGACUUCACAGGAAUCCUGCUUUGAACUCGGUAGCUCGAACUAAAAGCUAAGUGGCCUGUUACUUUAAGAGAGCAAUAACUUUAACACCAUACUAGAUUUUUCUGUAUAACUCCUUCUUUCUAAAAAUGGCUGCCUUAUUCCUCACCUUUUCUGCCAAUGUUGUUCUGGUAUUGUUUCCUUAAUGAAUAAAUACAAUUGUUACUGUUGCUAUUUCCUGUGUAUUUUGUUUUUUCUUGUCCUUUUAGAUCUUGUUAUCUUAUCUUCCCCUGUUUUUCAUUUUGUUUGUUUG